rnacentral:snoRNA from 1 species
AACCUAUGAUACGAACAUCAUCUGAGUAAAUCCUUGUACCUCUCCCAAGCCUCAUACAAUGACUCUGAACCUAGUUGCAUGAAUGAUGUGAUGUCAUUCCUUAUCUU